GCUCAGGAUGAACGCUGGCGGCGUGCUUAACACAUGCAAGUCGAACGGGAUCCCRGRYUUCGGYUUGGGUGAGAGUGGCGAACGGGUGAGUAAUGCGUGACCGACCUGCCCCAUACUCCGGAAUAGCUCCUGGAAACGGGUGGUAAUGCCGGAUGBACCRCRYYAUCGCAUGGUGGUGUGGGAAAGWUUKWUWCGGUGUGGGAUGGGGUCGCGUCCUAUCAGCUUGUUGGUGGUGUAAGGGACCACCAAGGCUUUGACGGGUAGCCGGCCUGAGAGGGCGACCGGCCACAUUGGGACUGAGAUACGGCCCAGACUCCUACGGGAGGCAGCAGUGGGGAAUAUUGCACAAUGGGCGCAAGCCUGAUGCAGCGACGCCGCGUGCGGGAUGGAGGCCUUCGGGUUGUGAACCGCUUUUAUCAGGGAGCAAGGCUUUUGUUGAGUGUACCUGGUGAAUAAGCACCGGCUAACUACGUGCCAGCAGCCGCGGUAAUACGUAGGGUGCAAGCGUUAUCCGGAUUUAUUGGGCGUAAAGGGCUCGUAGGCGGUUCGUCGCGUCUGGUGUGAAAGCCCAUCGCUUAACGGUGGGUCUGCGCCGGGUACGGGCGGGCUGGAGUGCGGUAGGGGAGACUGGAAUUCCCGGUGUAACGGUGGAAUGUGUAGAUAUCGGGAGGAACACCAAUGGCGAAGGCAGGUCUCUGGGCCGUUACUGACGCUGAGGAGCGAAAGCGUGGGGAGCGAACAGGAUUAGAUACCCUGGUAGUCCACGCCGUAAACGGUGGAUGCUGGAUGUGGGGCCUUUUUCCAUGGGUCCCGUGUCGGAGCCAACGCGUUAAGCAUCCCGCCUGGGGAGUACGGCCGCAAGGCUAAAACUCAAAGAAAUUGACGGGGGCCCGCACAAGCGGCGGAGCAUGCGGAUUAAUUCGAUGCAACGCGAAGAACCUUACCUGGGCUUGACAUGUUCCCGRCGRCSGYAGAGAUGYSGYUUCCCUUCGGGGCGGGUUCACAGGUGGUGCAUGGUCGUCGUCAGCUCGUGUCGUGAGAUGUUGGGUUAAGUCCCGCAACGAGCGCAACCCUCGCCCCGUGUUGCCAGCAGUUCGGCUGGGGACUCGCGGGGGACCGCCGGGGUCAACUCGGAGGAAGGUGGGGAUGACGUCAGAUCAUCAUGCCCCUUACGUCCAGGGCUUCACGCAUGCUACAAUGGCCGGUACAACGGGAUGCGACGYCGYGAGGCGGAGCGGAUCCCUGAAAACCGGUCUCAGUUCGGAUUGGAGUCUGCAACCCGACUCCAUGAAGGCGGAGUCGCUAGUAAUCGCGAAUCAGCAACGUCGCGGUGAAUGCGUUCCCGGGCCUUGUACACACCGCCCGUCAAGUCAUGAAAGUGGGCAGCACCCGAAGCCGGUGGCCCAACCAGU
rnacentral:rRNA from 1 species